rnacentral:rRNA from 1 species
GAUGAACGCUAGCGGGAGGCUUAACACAUGCAAGUCGAGGGGCAUCACGAGGUAGCAAUACUUUGGUGGCGACCGGCGCACGGGUGAGUAACGCGUAUGCAACCUACCCUGUACAGUGGGAUAACCCGGAGAAAUUCGGACUAAUACCGCAUAAAGAUAUUUUGAGGCAUCUUAAGAUAUUUAAAGCUUAGGUGGUACGGGAUGGGCAUGCGUAACAUUAGCUGGUUGGUAGGGUAACGGCCUACCAAGGCGAUGAUGUUUAGGGGACCUGAGAGGGUGAUCCCCCACACUGGUACUGAGACACGGACCAGACUCCUACGGGAGGCAGCAGUGAGGAAUAUUGGUCAAUGGGCGGAAGCCUGAACCAGCCAUCCCGCGUGCAGGAAGACAGCCCUAUGGGUUGUAAACUGCUUUUCCAGUGGGCGAAACACUCGUACGUGUACGAGAUUGACGGUACACUGGGAAUAAGCAUCGGCUAACUCCGUGCCAGCAGCCGCGGUAAUCAUA